rnacentral:lncRNA from 1 species
ACCAUCCCCUCCCGAGGGGGGAAAAAAAAAAAGACAGGAGAGGCGCAAGGGGGGAGGGAGUGGUUUCUGAAACUGAUUAAGAACGCCAGCGCCAGAAGGCAGGCUCCCCUCCCCCUCAGUCCCGGGGCCGUUUCUCAAUCACAGGACGGCCAGCUCCCCCGCUCCGACCGCCGACCCUCCGCCGCCCCCCGAGCCGGCGCAGUCUACACGUCGUCAGGUUUCCCCUUGCACUUGGCGCCGACCGUUCAGGUUUCCUUCCUUUCUCCCUCCCAGCCUGGACCAGCCGGUGGGAGGGGAAGCCCAGGGCUCAACAAAGACAAGGAGAGGAGGCCGGAGAAGCGGAGCCCGCAGCCCCUCGCCCCGCGGCUCGUCCGCGCGUGCGCGCAAAGCUCGCCCACCCCGCGCGCGCGGGCCGAGGGGCGCCGGGGCCAGCCGCCGCCGCCAGCGGGGCCUCAGGGACCUCGGGCCGGAUGGGGAACGGGGAAACUUCAGGAAGGUCUCGGGCCGGCUCGCCGGGGCACUACCCCGGCCCUCCAGGGAGGGAACCGUGGAGCCGGGGACCGACAGCCCUCCCGCCCACGCGGGGGCCAACCGCCCCCGACCGCGGCUCCAUCCGGUUCCCGGCGCCGCCGACAGCGCCGGCCUGGGAGGGAGCCCCGGGGAGGCGGGCUGCCGACACUCACCGGUGAGCGGGCCGAGGCCGGGGUGGGGGAGCGAGAGAGAGCGCGUUGCUGUGCGCAGCUCGGGCAGCCGCUGCUCCUCCGCCUCUCACCGAGCGUUCUGGAAAGUUCCCCCGACGCGCCGCAGCCGCGGUCUUUUGUAGCCGAGCCCGGGCGCGUCACCCGCCGGAAGUCCCGCCCUGCCCGGCGCUCCCACCGCCCCGCGGUUACCCGGGCAACGGCGCGUGGGCGCUCGGGCCGGGAGGGGCUGCGCCCAAGGGCCUGGUGGGGGUGGGCGCCUGCCCGGGUUCCCGGCGCUUGUCGAACUUUCUGGAGCCCUUUCUUUCCGCCGGUGGGCCCGAGAGGGCGGAAGUGUCGGGCGGCAGCGGGGAUUGCCCGGGGGCCGCUGCGCAUCAGUCCCGAAAUCGGUGGGGCGGCCCGCGGGGACGGGAGGGCUGGGCUCGGCCCGGCCGGGCGGGCAUCUCCCGCGGCCCCUCGCCCGCGCGGUUCCUUAGCCCCGAGGUUCUGGGAAGCCGCCGAGCCGGAAAUGCUGAGCAAGCCGGGCCUGGGCCCCAGAGCAGCCGCGCAGGCCUGGGGUCGCGUUCUUCCCGCGCCUGGUCCACGGCCUCGGAGGGGCUCUUUGUGCAAGUCCCAGCUCCGGGACACGCGGCGUCUGCCUCGGCCUAGCCGGCUCCCGGGGCGGGCUCAGCCCGGGAACCUGCGAGUGCCUGGGUGCACGCAGGGCCUUGGACUGUGCUCUGGCCAGGCGUGCACCCGGGUUGGCGAGCCGGGGACACACAGUGGCACCAAGAGUGGUUAA